rnacentral:rRNA from 1 species
CCGCGUGCGGGAGGAAGGCCUUUGGGUCGUAAACCGCUUUUCUCAGGGAAGAAGACCUGACGGUACCUGAGGAAUAAGCCUCGGCUAACUCCGUGCCAGCAGCCGCGGUAAUACGGAGGAGGCAAGCGUUAUCCGGAAUUAUUGGGCGUAAAGCGUCCGCAGGUGGCUGUUCAAGUCUGCUGUCAAAGCCCGAAGCUCAACUUNGGAGAGGCAGNGGAAACUGGGCGGCUAGAGAUCGGUAGGGGUAGAGGGAAUUCCC